rnacentral:lncRNA from 1 species
CAAACGGGCCACCACCAUAACUCCAAUUUGGUGAAAUUUUAAAUGAAAGAUCAGAAACAUAUUGGGCCUAUAAUAAACAAGUAUGAUGCAAAUGAAACAGAAAAACAUAAAUGGAUUUGGACGGACUGGUACCACCACAUCUGAUUUGGAGUACCUGUCCGUCUCUUUUUGAACAGAUAGAUAGCCAACUGAAAUAGUGAUUCUGCUUGCAGGCAAU